CUUGCUCCUCUGACGUUAGCGGCGGACGGGUGAGUAACACGUGGAUAACCUACCUAUAAGACUGGGAUAACUUCGGGAAACCGGAGCUAAUACCGGAUAAUAUAUUGAACCGCAUGGUUCAAUAGUGAAAGACGGUUUUGCUGUCACUUAUAGAUGGAUCCGCGCCGCAUUAGCUAGUUGGUAAGGUAACGGCUUACCAAGGCAACGAUGCGUAGCCGACCUGAGAGGGUGAUCGGCCACACUGGAACUGAGACACGGUCCAGACUCCUACGGGAGGCAGCAGUAGGGAAUCUUCCGCAAUGGGCGAAAGCCUGACGGAGCAACGCCGCGUGAGUGAUGAAGGUCUUCGGAUCGUAAAACUCUGUUAUUAGGGAAGAACAAAUGUGUAAGUAACUAUGCACGUCUUGACGGUACCUAAUCAGAAAGCCACGGCUAACUACGUGCCAGCAGCCGCGGUAAUACGUAGGUGGCAAGCGUUAUCCGGAAUUAUUGGGCGUAAAGCGCGCGUAGGCGGUUUUUUAAGUCUGAUGUGAAAGCCCACGGCUCAACCGUG
rnacentral:rRNA from 1 species